GUUGAACGCUGGCGGCAGGCCUAACACAUGCAAGUCGAACGAGUGACGAACGGGUGCGUACUGUCUGGGAACCUGCCUGAUGGCUGGGGAUAACUACUGGAAAAGGUAGCUAAUACCGCAUACCAUCAGCUUUCCACAGGUGGGGUUAGCUAGUAGGUGGGGUAACGGCUCACCUAGGCGACGAUCCCUAGCGGGUCUGCGAGGGUGACCAGCCACACUGGAACUGAGACACGGUCCAGACGCCUACGGGAGGCAGCAGUGGGGAAUAUUGGACAAUGGGCGAAAGCCUGACGGAGCCAGGCCGCGUGAGUGAAGAAGGUUUUCGGGUUGUAAAGUACUUUUGUUGGGGAAGCGGUACCCGAAGAAGAAGCACCGGCUAACUCCGUGCCAGCAGCCGCGGUAAUAC
rnacentral:rRNA from 1 species